rnacentral:tRNA from 1 species
ACUUAUAUAAUAUAAUAAAUUAUACUUGACUUCCAAUCAAAAAAUCUAAAUCUUUAGUAUAAGUA